rnacentral:rRNA from 1 species
UACGUAGGGGGCAAGCGUUGUCCGGAUUUAUUGGGCGUAAAGAGCGUGUAGGCGGCCAGGUAGGUCCGUUGUGAAAACUCGAGGCUCAACCUCGAGACGCCGAUGGAAACCAUGUGGCUAGAGUCCGGAAGAGGAGAGUGGAAUUCCUGGUGUAGCGGUGAAAUGCGCAGAUAUCAGGAGGAACACCGGUGGCGAAGGCGGGUCUCUGGGCCGAUACUGACGCUGAGGAGCGAAAGCGUGGGGAGCGAACAGG